GCCCUAAGGGGGAAAGCUGGGGAUCUUCGGACCUGGCGCUAUUAGAUGAGCCCGCGUUAGAUUAGCUUGUUGGUAGGGUAAUGGCCUACCAAGGCAACGAUCUAUAGCUGGUCUGAGAGAACGAUCAGCCACACUGGGACUGAGAUACGGCCCAGACUCCUACGGGAGGCAGCAGUGGGGAAUAUUGCACAAUGGGCGCAAGCCUGAUGCAGCAAUACCGCGUGUGUGAAGAAGGCCUGAGGGUUGUAAAGCACUUUCAAUAGUGAAGAAAUGUUCUUGGUUAAUAACCUUGAAUUUUGACGUUAACUAUACAAGAAGCACCGGCUAACUCCGUGCCAGCAGCCGCGGUAAUACGGAGGGUGCAAGCGUUAAUCGGAAUUACUGGGCGUAAAGCGUGCGUAGGCGGCUUGUUAAGUCAGAUGUGAAAGCCCCGGGCUCAACCUGGGAACUGCAUUUGAAACUGGCAGGCUAGAGUAUGGUAGAGGGGGGUAGAAUUUCUGGUGUAGCGGUGAAAUGCGUAGAUAUCAGAAGGAAUACCAGUGGCGAAGGCGGCCCCCUGGACCAAUACUGACGCUGAGGUACGAAAGCGUGGGUAGCGAACAGGAUUAGAUACCCUGGUAGUCCACGCCGUAAACGAUGUCAACUAGCAGUUGGGACCUUGAGGUCUCAGUGGUGCAGCUAACGCGUGAAGUUGACCGCCUGGGGAGUACGGCCGCAAGGCUAAAACUCAAAUGAAUUGACGGGGGCCCGCACAAGCGGUGGAGCAUGUGGUUUAAUUCGAUGCAACGCAAAGAACCUUACCUACCCUUGACAUCAUCAGAGCUUGUUAGAGAUAACUCGGUGCCUUCGGGAACUGAUAGACAGGUGCUGCAUGGCUGUCGUCAGCUCGUGUCGUGAGAUGUUGGGUUAAGUCCCGCAACGAGCGCAACCCUUGUCCUUAGUUGCCAGCACGUAAUGGUGGGAACUCUAAGGAGACUGCCGGUGAUAAACCGGAGGAAGGUGGGGAUGACGUCAAGUCAUCAUGGCCCUUAUGGGUAGGGCUACACACGUGCUACAAUGGCCAGUACAGAGGGUCGCGAACUCGCGAGAGUAAGCUAAUCCCAGAAAGCUGGUCGUAGUCCGGAUUGGAGUCUGCAACUCGACUCCAUGAAGUCGGAA
rnacentral:rRNA from 1 species